rnacentral:lncRNA from 1 species
UAGGGAUUAAUAAUUUAUGUAGCUAUUUAAUUGGGGCUAGCUAAAGGCCCAAAAACCAUCAUUUCAAUCCGGGUUUACUGUGGCGGGAAAGUCCAACAAAUAUCCGAAUAUCCCGUCGAUGUCAUUUUCGCUGAAGGUAGAAUCCUCCGUCAAUGGAACUUCGAGUGGCUGUGAAGAUUCUAUGGAAGUGGCGUGAUCUCUAAUGUACUUCAAGGUAUCUUAGGUUAGUCAGUGUUUUCGAUUGAUUUAAUCGGAUUUUGCGAAACUGAAAAUUGUAGACUGCUUAUCGAGUAAACUGUCUAGUGAGUCCUAGGUCGUCGAAUCAAAUAUUAAUAGUGAAAAGUAUUAGGGUUUAUCCAAUUGUUAGGCCUUUUGCAAGUGCGAUUCUGUGAUAGCUUAGGUUUUCGAUUGGAAGAUCGAAAAUUUAAAAAUGUUCAAAUUCAAGAAGAGAAGAUUGACGCACCAAAGCGAAAAAAAAUCUUAUGUAGAACUCUCACUAGAAGCAAUGUAAAUAUUAAACCCUCAUUUAUUAUUUUAUUUGGCUAUUGAAUAACCAGUAAUAUACAUGUUGAAUUAUUGUUGUAAUAACUGCACAAUUUUUUUUUUUAUCUAGGUCUGUCUCUUAUCUCCAAAGCAGAGCCAAAAGAGACAAAACAAUCAAACAGCUUUCUUCUGUCCUGUAAACUCGGAAUCAGAAGAAGCUUCAUGUUCUUUUGACCAGGGAGAUUCCAUUAGGAUCACCACCCCACUCUUCAAACACAACUAUAAGGUUCUGAGACUUGAGCCAUGAACGAGGUACAUGAUACCUGCAAAAAAGAGAGAAAUAGAGACAGAGCUCUCUGAAUCAAGAUUUGCACUAAAUAGAUGAAAAGUGAAAGAAGAAGCUGUUUUUUCCUCUCACCAUUUUUGAGAAGCUUCGCCGCAAUUACUCAGACAUUUCUUUGCGUCGAAAGUUCCGGCGUAGUUGCAUCGCCCGCAGUUUCCUUGAGCUUUAUAAGCAGGCCAAUGACGUCCAAUGUUUCGACCGUUUAUCCAAACUUGACCUUUCCCCAUUGUGUUCAUGUCCAAAGCCAAUGGUUCGUUUCCUGCCGGUGUGGUAAAAGUAGACAGCAAUAGAAAGAGAAAAGUUAUGUUCAUUUGUUCAUUUUAUCAUAUUUGUUUAUGGAGAUGAUGUUUGAUUCUUGUGUAUUUCUCUUACCUUGUACCAGGUCAAUGGUUGCUUCUUGACCACUAAUGAUCCUUGAUUCCAUCUCACGGUGGAACUGUCGGUAUGAAGACUCAAACCUUCACCCUUAACACCAAUCUGUUCAAAAUCACAUUUAAAAUUCAUUGUUAUGAUUAGUUUGUUGUUACCAGGAAACUCAAAACUUGAGAGUUGGUUUUGAAUUUCAGGGAGGACCUUAUAAGACCAUUUCCAUUUUGACAUUUCCCAUGUUCCCGAGUUAACUCCUUUCAGUGUGACCGGUCCAAGAACCCCUUUAUUCCACUUCUCAAAGUGUGUACCGACAUUCUGCAACCAAACCAAGAACCAUAAAGCUCAAAGAUCUAAUUAUCUUCUGCGGACAAAAAACUGCUAUUACAAGAGAUAGGAUUAUCUCAUCAGGAACUAACCGG